GAUGAACGCUGGCGGCGUGCCUAAUACAUGCAAGUCGAGCGAACAGACCAUGAUCUUGCUCCUCUCACGUUAGCGGCGCGCGUGUGAGUAACGCGUGUAUCACCUACCUAUAUUUCUGAUAUAACUUCGAAAAUCCGGAUCUAAUACGGUAUAAUAUAUUGCAGCGCAGUGUGCAUUGGUAAGAUUCGGUUGUUCUGUCUCGUAUCGAUGCAUCUGCGCCGCAUUAGCUGGUUGUUAAGGUAACUGCUUACCAAGGCGACGAGGCGUAGGCGAGCUGAGAGGGUGAUAGGCCACAUUGGAACUGAGACACGGUCAAGACUACUAAGGGAGGCAGCAGUAGGGAAUCUUACGCAAUGGGCGAAAGCCUGACGGAGCAACGCCGCGUGAGUGAUGAAGGUCUUCGGAUCGUAAAACUCUGCUAUUAGGGAAGAACAAAUGUGUAAGUAACUAUGCACGUCUUGACGGUAACUAAUAAGAAAGCACCGGCUAACUACGUG
rnacentral:rRNA from 1 species